rnacentral:misc_RNA from 1 species
GAUGAAGAACGUAGUGAAAUGCGAUAAGUAGUGUGAAUUGCAGAAUUCAGUGAAUCAUCGAAUCUUUGAACGCACAUUGCGCCCCAUGGUAUUCCGUGGGGCAUGCCUGUUCGAGCGUCAUUUACCUCCUCAAGCUCCGCUUGGUGUUGGGCGUCUGUCCCGCUUCGCGCGCGGACUCGCCCCAAAGGUAUUGGCAGCGGUCGUGCCAGCUUCUCGCGCAGCACAUUGCGCUUCUCGAGGCACCGGUGGGCCCGCGUCCAUCAAGCUCACCCCCCCAGUUUGACCUCGGAUCAGGUAGGGAUACCCGCUGAACUUAAGCAUAUCAAUAAGCGGAGGA